rnacentral:rRNA from 1 species
GCAUAUCAAUAAGCGGAGGAAAAGAAACCAACAGGGAUUGCCCCAGUAACGGCGAGUGAAGCGGCAACAGCUCAAAUUUGAAAUCUGGCGCAAGCCCGAGUUGUAAUUUGUAGAGGAUGCUUCUAGGUAGCGACCGGUCUAAGUUCCUUGGAACAGGACGUCAGAGAGGGUGAGAAUCCCGUAUGUGACCGGCCCGCGCCUUCCACGUAGCUCCUUCGACGAGUCGAGUUGUUUGGGAAUGCAGCUCUAAAUGGGAGGUAAAUUUCUUCUAAAGCUAAAUACCGGCCAGAGACCGAUAGCGCACAAGUAGAGUGAUCGAAAGAUGAAAAGCACUUUGGAAAGAGAGUUAAAAAGCACGUGAAAUUGUUGAAAGGGAAGCGCUCACAACCAGACUUUGGGGCGGUGUUCCGCCGGUCUUUUGACCGGUCUACUCGCCGUCCCGAGGCCAACAUCAUCUGGGACCGCCGGAUAAGACCGUAGGAAUGUGGCUCCCCUCGGGGAGUGUUAUAGCCUACGGUGAUGCGGCGCGUCUCGGGUGAGGUCCGCGCUUCGGCAAGGAUGUUGGCGUAAUGGUUGUCAGCGGCCCGUCUUGAAACACGGACCAAGGAGUCUAACAUCUAUGCGAGUGUUCGGGUGUCAAACCCCUACGCGAAAUGAAAGUGAACGGAGGUGGGAAGGGCAACCUGCACCAUCGACCGAUCCUGAUGUCCUCGGAUGGAUUUGAGUAAGAGCAUAGCUGUUGGGACCCGAAAGAUGGUGAACUAUGCCUGAAUAGGGUGAAGCCAGAGGAAACUCUGGUGGAGGCUCGCAGCGGUUCUGACGUGCAAAUCGAUCGUCAAAUUUGGGUAUAGGGGCGAAAGACUAAUCGAACCAU